rnacentral:rRNA from 1 species
CGGGUGAGUAAUGUAUGGGGAUCUGCCUGAUGGCGGGGGAUAACUACUGGAAACGGUAGCUAAUACCGCAUAAUGUCUGCGGACCAAAGCGGGGGACCUCCGGGCCUCGCGCCAUCAGAUGAACCCAUAUGGGAUUAGCUAGUAGGUAAGGUAACGGCUUACCUAGGCGACGAUCCCUAGCUGGUCUGAGAGGAUGAUCAGCCACACUGGGACAGAGACACGGCCCAG